UAAUACGGAGGGUGCAAGCGUUAUCCGGAUUUACUGGGUUUAAAGGGUGCGUAGGCGGGAAAAUAAGUCAGUGGUGAAAGCACCGGGCUCAACUCGGUAACUGCCAUUGAUACUGUUUUUCUUGAAUGCGAUUGAGGUAAGCGGAAUGUUGCAUGUAGCGGUGAAAUGCUUAGAUAUGUUACAGAACACCAAUUGUGAAGACAGCUUACUAAGUCGUGAUUGACGCUGAGGCACGAAAGCGUGGGGAGCAAACAGGAUUAGAUACCCUGGUAGUCCACGCCCUAAACGAUGAUUACUCGACAUUGGCGAUAUACAGAUCAGUGUCUGAGCGAAAGCGUUAAGUAAUCCACCUGGGGAGUACGCUCGCAAGAGUG
rnacentral:rRNA from 1 species